AUUUUGGUAUUAUGAUAGUCUUUUCAUGCAUUAAUUGAAUAAAUGCAACAUUCGGGGGUAGCUCAGUGGCAGAGCAACUGGCUGUGGCACGCUCUAAGAGAGCCCAACGCAGCUUCCGAUGGAGACAUUGGAAUGAAAUGAGGUGAACUGUCUGGAAGCCUAAGGCGAAAGCUAUGGUAAUCAGCAGCCAAUCCUUCAACAGGAAGGCAGGUUCAGAGACUAUCCUUAACUGGAGUACUUGCUCGUUUAUACGGGCCGGGAAGCGCCUCACAUCCUAACUUGAAAAAGAAGGAUGAAGAUAUAGUCCACCCCUUUAGGAAACUAGAGG
rnacentral:ncRNA from 1 species